rnacentral:hammerhead_ribozyme from 1 species
AUCCAGCCGACGAGUGCCAAAUAGAACGAAAUGCGCAUCCUGGAU